rnacentral:sRNA from 2 species
CUCCAACACCCCGCCUCAGACCCACUCUACCAUCCAGCCAGCUGGAGGAACCUGAUUCUUUCUACUCCGUAAGUUCCACUACUCUACUGCCAUUGGUCCUGGGGUUUUUCCUGAGUGUAUAUCUAUAUAUAUACCUUGGCAAGAGAAUGUGCAUUAGUAAGAGAUAUUAUUCUGGCCUUGAUCUGAUUUGAAUCUGUGAUAGCAUUUUCACACACCCUGUAGCACUUACACAGGCUCAUAAUUUAUUAGGCCACUGGGGCAAAAGAGCUCAAUCACCACCAGCGCUGUGGUGGUAUAGACGGUACGAAUCACCCAAUCCAAUCCCUCCAACAGAACACAACACCGUUAUCCUUCAUCACUGGACCUGUGUUGGGUUGUGUGGUGGUGGCAGUGCCGUACCUUCUCUAUGUUGAAGUUACAAAUGAAUUGUGAAUAUCAAAAAAUUACAAAAUAAUUAUUAUAUGUGAUUUUUUCGGAGAAUAGGCGAACAUAUAAUAAAAUCAAUAUAAAUAAGUAGCAGCAUUACCUUUGAUAGUAGAAAGUAUUCAUAA